CUUGUAAAAUCUCCAUUCCAGGCUGCGUUUACAUCUAGGUUAGGCCAACUGUCGGCUCGUUAUCUAAGUAAGAUGUAGACUUGAUUUCAGGAAAGGGACUAACUUCGCUAUAGACUUUAACUACUUAGGGCUUUCUUAGGCCAUGACAUGGCAAGUACAACUUGGUGCAAGCACAUUUAUGAGAUAGUACUGCAAGAAUGUGUAUGUUUGUUCUUGACUUUAAAAGAGAUACCGGUAGUCAUUCUGUAAAUCAAUGAUUACUAGUAACUGAGUGGGGAGGGGGUGCCUAGUCACUGCCUACAUGAAAGGCGCCUUAAGUUUUUUUUUUAAAGUUAGAAUAUUUUUGACACUAUAUCUAAGACCAAUUAUCAAUGGAGUAGAUCUUUGAUAUUUUAAUGAGGUCUAAACCUUUUUAUUUUUGUUUCAGGAUGAUGUUUUUCUUCAGUAAAAUAAAUGAAGGCAAAUUCCCUGAUAACUGAGACAAAUUCAGAGAGAGGAAGGAGAACUACUGAGCUGCUGAAUUUCUGACAGACAUACUUGCAAGGACUAUGAAGUUCUACUUAGCCUCUUCAAUGAACCAGACUCCAUCUGCUGUAACUGUGACUGCAUGGGGAUCAAACCUGUGUAUUAUAAUCCUCAUAACAUGAAGCUAUGGUAACAAACAAGCAACCAUUGAUAAAAAGCCUGAUAUGUCCUUGUUGUGUGUGUGAACCACAAAGCAACCAUCACUCAUAAGGAUGUUUUUAUGUACAUCAGAUGUUCAUUGUUUCACUGGAAAAAUUGUGAUUUUGAAUCAUUUAAGAAAUCAUGUUUUAUAACGAGUUUUAUAAUAUAGUGCAAGUCAUGAUAUAACAGAUUCCCUGCAAAAGAAA
rnacentral:lncRNA from 1 species